GUAUAUGUAGAUUCAUCUCAUCAUAUAAUUUUUCUAAUCAUUUACAUGUGCAAAUUAAAACAUAGCAUAUAUAAUAAUAAUGUGUAAUAAUAUUCUAAACAAAUCACACGAGAAAUAUUUGAUCAUCUGAUCAAUGACCACCAAAAACUUUCUUUUUUUUUUCUUUAAAAAAAUAAAAAGAUAUUAUACAUAGACUUUGAUGAUUUGCAAAUGAAAACACACUCUAUUAAGCUACACAUUUAUUUGAUUGAAGUAGUUAGUUAAAAGCAGAACAAAUCUUGCGAAUUUCACCAUCAGCACCAGUCUUGACUCCAAUGUUGCCCAUCUUAACCAUAGACUUUCCAAACUCAACGCUGAAAGACAAGUCAAGCACCCCUCUUAGGCCUAAGUAUCUCUGCACAAACAUUUUUGUGGAAGCAUCAUUCCAUAGUUCCUCAUCUGACUCAAGAAUUCCACGUCCAUUCUUCAAAUUAGCAUAGUAAGAAGUAUCAAAUUUCAGUUGGCUUCCGGUAUCUAAGGGAACACGGUUGCUACCGCCACUGUUUUGAGGGCAGAGUGCUUGUAGUUGCGGAACAAAUGAAGGGUCAAUGGAAGGAUCAGGGCCAUUUCCGGUGAAGUUGUACAAUCUGUUGCUGAAGAAUUGGCAUGCUGCGGUACCUAUCGUAUGUCCUCCUGUCCACAUACUCAUCAAACUUUUUCAUUGUACAAACGUGUUUUUUAAAUUUCUGUUAAAUUUGCAUCGAAAUUUUUUAUUUGUUUUAAAUCAAUAAAAAUUAUUCUGUAACAAAUACUAUAUAUCUCACAAAAUGAUUUCUUUCAAAAGUUAAAAAAUUUAAACUAAUAAAGGAAGUUAUAUCUCUGACAAAUAUAAUAUAAUCUUAGUAUGAUUACCAACAAGGGUAACGAGGUCUUGUGUGUUGAGGCCCUUUGCUGCAAACUUCUGUUUUUGAACAUCAACAGAGUCCGUAGGUGCAGGCAAGUUGUUAACAUCCGAAGCUUGUGACACAUGACCAUCUUUACGUCCUGUAGGCACUUGCCAACUCAAUCCACCGCUCUGCAAACAAAAAUACUCUCAAUAUUAUUACUUGUUCGUUUUAAAACAUGUAAAAACUCACGGUAUAGUUAUUUUUAUUGUGAAGUUGAUAGCUAAAAAUUAUUAAAUAAUUUAACAUGUUUGAUUAAAUUAUCAUCUAAUAACUUUCAACUAUCAACUUCAUAUAAAGAUAACUGUACGUAAGCUUUUAUCUUUACUUUAAAAUUUUAUUAUUGUUGUGUAUAUAUACCAGGACGACAGAGUCGCGAGCAGCAAGGGCAAGAAUAUCGGCGCAAGAC
rnacentral:lncRNA from 1 species